CCCUUAGAUGUUCUGGGCUGCACGCGCGCUACACUGAUACUUUCAGCGAGUCCACCACCUUGCCUGAGAGGGUGGGGUAACCUCUGGAAAGUGUAUCGUGAUGGGGAUCGAUUAUUGUAAUUAUUAAUCUUCAACGAGGAAUUCCUAGUAAGCAUGUGUCAUCAGCCCGUGCUGAAUACGUCCCUGCCCUUUGUACACACCGCCCGUCGCUCCUACCGAUUGAGUGGUCCGGUGAGGCUUUGGGAUCUGAGCGGAAAGAGCGUUUCGCUGUUUCUGCUCGGAAAACUCAGUCGAACCUUAUCAUUUAGAGGAAGGAGAAGUCGUAACA
rnacentral:rRNA from 1 species